AUGUCGAUCGUGAGGCGGAGCAACGUGUUCGACCCCUUCGCCGACCUCUGGGCGGACCCCUUCGACACCUUCCGCUCCAUCGUCCCGGCGAUCUCAGGCGGCAACAGCGAGACGGCCGCGUUCGCCAACGCUCGCGUGGACUGGAAGGAGACUCCCGAGGCGCACGUCUUCAAGGCCGACCUUCCAGGAGUGAAGAAGGAGGAGGUCAAGGUGGAGGUGGAGGACGGCAACGUGCUCGUCGUCAGUGGCGAGCGCACAAAGGAGAAGGAGGACAAGAACGACAAGUGGCACCGCAUGGAGCGCAGCAGCGGCAAGUUCGUGCGGCGCUUCCGCCUCCCCGAGGACGCCAAGGUGGAGGAGGUGAAGGCCGGGCUGGAGAACGGCGUGCUCACCGUCACCGUGCCCAAGGCCGAGGUCAAGAAGCCCGAGGUGAAGGCCAUCGAGAUCUCCGGUUGA
rnacentral:rRNA from 1 species